rnacentral:lncRNA from 10 species
CGGAAAAAGAAUUAUCCAGAUCCAGUUUCCAUCAUCCAGAAGUAUGGUGCUGAUGCCCUCAGAUUAUAUCUGAUUAACUCCCCUGUGGUGAGAGCAGAAAACCUCCGCUUUAAAGAAGAGGGUGUGCGGGACGUCCUUAAGGAUGUACUGCUCCCAUGGUACAAUGCCUAUCGCUUCUUAAUCCAGAACGUUCUGAGGCUCCAGAAGGAGGAAGAAAUAGAAUUUCUCUACAAUGAGAACACGGUUAGAGAAAGCCCCAACAUUACAGACCGGUGGAUCCUGUCCUUCAUGCAGUCUCUCAUUGGCUUCUUUGAGACUGAAAUGGCAGGUGAGUCUCUCUUGGUCUGUCCUCCCAGGAAUAAGGACUAUUCUCUUUGUAACUGCCCUUUUGAUAUUUAAUAGUGGAAAUAUUGAGAGAUACAGAAAAUUAAAUAAUUGUUUCCUUUUACCUCUCAUAUAGUUUUGUUAAGGCUUGUUAAUUGUCGUGAUAUCUUUGUUUCAAGACCCUGGGGACUUCUGGCCUGGUGUGGUGGCUCACGCCUGUAAUCCCCAGCAUUUUGGGAGACCAAGGCAGGCAGGUCACCUUAGGUCAGGAGUUCGAGACCAGCCUGGCCAACAUGGCGAAACCCUGUCUCUACUAAAAAUAUAUUU